rnacentral:rRNA from 1 species
GUGCCAGCAGCCGCGGUAAUACGUAGGGUGCGAGCGUUAAUCGGAAUUACUGGGCGUAAAGCGUGCGCAGGCGGUUUUGUAAGCCAGAUGUGAAAUCCCCGGGCUUAACCUGGGAAUGGCAUUUGGGACUGCAAGGCUAGAAUCUGGCAGAGGGGGGUAGAAUUCCUGGUGUAGCAGUGAAAUGCGUAGAUAUCAGGAGGAAUACCGAUGGCGAAGGCAGCCCCCUGGGCUAAGAUUGACGCUCAUGCACGAAAGCGUGGGGAGCAAACAGGAUUAGAUACCCUGGUAGUCC